rnacentral:lncRNA from 1 species
GUGACUGGGCUUGGUGGAGUUUCAAGAUGCUGAUGAACUUAAGGUCUGGCGCUUGAAAGAAUCAGUGAAGCUUUUCAAGUAGAGGAGUGGUGUUUCCAGUGAAAUCUAUGGCAAGAUGGUUUGGGGUCACUAUCUACAUGAACUGCCAAGUUGGAAAAUCAAAAAUACAUCAAAAUCACUCUUGGGACAUAAGUCACGGAAGUGACUCAUGCACACAAUAAAUACCCAAGAAGCAGGACCAGACGGCAGUUGUGUAUUGGCACGCUCAUCAGUGCUGCAAAAAUUCCCCUUCUGGAUGGCAACAACAAUGCUUACUCUACUUUGAAGAAAGGAAUGGAACAGAAGGUGUCUGCAUAACUAAAUGGGGAUCUAGAGAAAGUGGAGACUGCCUCUGGAGCAGGGAGGAUUAUGCCACCAUGACUAGAAGGCCCCCUAAUGGAGUUUAUCUGCACUGCAAGGGGCCAGUUGUCUCAGAAUCAUCCUCCGUUGACAUCUCCAUCUCCAGGACAGCUCCACACUAAUCUGUUUCAAAGACAAAAUCCAGUCUAAUCAGUUUGAUGUAUGUUUCUGGGAAUAGAGCCGAAUGUUGUAGCUGAUGGAAUGGAGUCUCAUACCAUUGAUUUUGCAGCUGGACAAGUGCCCUGCCAUGUUACUGCCACUCUUUAAGGCAGAAUAGAGCACAUUGUAUCAUUUAUAGGCCUCUCACAGUGAGAAAUAUGUGGAACUUUGGAAAUCAGAAUCUAAAACUGCAGUCCAAUGGGGUAGCCACUAUUCACAUGUGCUAUUGAGUACCUAAAAUGUGGCUAGACCAAGUUGACAUGUGCUGAAGGGUGAAAAACACCAGGAGUGAAGAAUUAACUUGAAAAAAAUGUAAACUAUCUCAAUUUUAUAUUGAUUACAAAUUAAAUGAUGUUUUGAAUAUAUUGAGUUAAAUGAAAUACAUUUUUUAAUGAUA